ensembl:snRNA U6 U6 spliceosomal RNA
GUGCUUGCUUCAGCAGCACAUAUACUAAAACUGGAAUGAUGCCGAGAAUAUUAGCAUGGCCCCUGCUCAAGGAUGACAUGCAAAUUUGUGAAGUGUUUCAUAUUAAA